GACGAACGCUGGCGGCGUGCUUAACACAUGCAAGUCGAGCGAUGAAGUUCCUUCGGGAAUGGAUUAGCGGCGGACGGGUGAGUAACACGUGGGUAACCUGCCUCAUAGAGGGGAAUAGCCUUCCGAAAGGAAGAUUAAUACCGCAUAAGAUUGUAGUACCGCAUGGUAUAGCAAUUAAAGGAGCAAUCCGCUAUGAGAUGGACCCGCGUCGCAUUAGCUAGUUGGUGAGGUACCGGCUCACCAAGGCGACGAUGCGUAGCCGACCUGAGAGGGGGCUCGGCCACAUUGGGACUGAGACACGGCCCAGACUCCUACGGGAGGCAGCAGUGGGGAAUAUUGCACAAUGGGUGAAACCCUGAUGCAGCAACGCCGCGUGAGUGAUGACGGUCUUCGGAUUGUAAAACUCUGUCUUCAGGGACGAUAAUGACGGUACCUGAGGAGGAAGCCACGGCUAACUACGUGCCAGCCGCCGCAGUAA
rnacentral:rRNA from 1 species